GACAGAGGGGGCAAGCGUUGCUCGGAAUUACUGGGCGUAAAGGGCGCGUAGGCGGGAUGGCAAGUCGGUCGUGAAAUCCUUCGGCUCAACCGAAGAACGUCGAUCGAUACUGCUGUUCUUGAGGGUUGCAGAGGAGACUGGAAUUCCCGGAGUAGCGGUGAAAUGUGUAGAGAUCGGGAGGAACACCGGUGGCGAAGGCGGGUCUCUGGGCAAUUCCUGACGCUGAGGCGCGAAAGCGUGGGGAGCAAACGGG
rnacentral:rRNA from 1 species